UGGGGAAUAUUGCACAAUGGAGGGAACUCUGAUGCAGCGACGCCGCGUGAGUGAUGAAGGAAUUCGUUUCGUAAAACUCUGUUCUAUGGGAAGAAAAGGACUGUACCAUAGGAGAAAGCUCCGGCUAAAUACGUGCCAGCAGCCGCGGUAAUACGUAUGGAGCGAGCGUUGUCCGGAAUUAUUGGGCGUAAAGGGUGCGCAGGCGGCUUUACAAGUUGGAUGUGAAAUAUUGUGGCUCAACCACAAACGUGCAUCCAAAACUGCAAAGCUUGAGUUAAGGAGAGGUAAGUGGAAUUCCUGGUGUAGCGGUGGAAUGCGUAGAUAUCAGGAGGAAUACCGGUGGCGAAGGCGACUUACUGGACUUAAACUGACGCUCAGGCACGAAAGCGUGGGGAUCAAACAGG
rnacentral:rRNA from 1 species